rnacentral:rRNA from 1 species
GACGAACGCUGGCGGCGUGCCUAACACAUGCAAGUCGAGCGGAGCUAAUAGUAAUAUUAGUUUAGCGGCGGACGGGUGAGUAACGCGUGGGCAACCUGCCUCAUACUGGGGGAUAACACUGGGAAACUAGUGCUAAUACCGCAUAACAUCAUGAGAGGACAUCCUUUUAUGAUCAAAGGAGUAAUCCGGUGAGAGAUGGGCCCGCGUCCAAUUAGCUAGUUGGUGGUGUAACGGACCACCAAGGCGACGAUUGGUAGCCGAACUGAGAGGUUGAUCGGCCACAUUGGGACUGAGAUACGGCCCAGACUCCUACGGGUGGCAG